rnacentral:rRNA from 1 species
CCUACGGGAGGCAGCAGUGGGGGAUAUUGCGCAAUGGGCGCAAGCCUGAUGCAGCGACGCCGCGUGCGGGAUGGAGGCCUUCGGGUUGUAAACCGCUUUUGUUCAAGGGCAAGGCACGGUGUUUGGCCGUGUUGAGUGGAUUGUUCGAAUAAGCACCGGCUAACUACGUGCCAGCAGCCGCGGUAAUACGUAGGUGCCAGCAGCCGCGG